rnacentral:rRNA from 1 species
UUGAGCGCGAUAAGAGCGUUCGGUGGAUGCCUUGGCGCCAAGAGGCGAUGAAGGACGUGGCACGCUGCGAUAAGCUGCGGGGAGAUGCGAGCGAUCGUUGAUCCGCGGAUUUCCGAAUGGGGAAACCCACCCGUGAGGGUAUCUGCACCUGAAUACAUAGGGUGUGGAGGCGAACCCGGGGAACUGAAACAUCUCAGUACCUGGAGGAAAAGACAUCAACAGAGAUUCCGCUAGUAGUGGCGAGCGAACGCGGAACAGGCCAGUGCCUUUAUGUGUCUAAGUUGAGCGGUCUGGAAAGGCCGGCCAAAGUGGGUGAUAGCCCCGUAGACGUGUUGACACAUAGGGGACUUGAGUAGGGCGGGGCACGAGAAACCCUGUCUGAACAUGGGGGGACCACCCUCCAAGCCUAAAUACUCCUUGGCGACCGAUAGUGCACAAGUACCGUGAGGGAAAGGUGAAAAGCACCCCGACGAGGGGAGUGAAAGAGACCUGAAACCGAGCGCUUACAAGCAGUCGGAGCACCCAUGUGGUGUGACGGCGUACCUUUUGUAUAAUGGGUCCGCGAGUUCGUGUUGGCAGCAAGCUUAAGCCGUAAGGUGUAGGCGCAGCGAAAGCGAGUCUGAACAGGGCGUUCAGUUGCCGGCAUGAGACCCGAAACCGAGUGAUCUAGCCAUGGCCAGGCUGAAGGUGCGGUAACACGCACUGGAGGGCCGAACCCACGCCUGUUGAAAAAGUCGGGGAUGAGCUGUGGCUAGGGGUGAAAGGCCAAUCAAACUCGGAAAUAGCUGGUUCUCCGCGAAAUCUAUUGAGGUAGAUCCUCGCCUGAACACCACUGGAGGUAGAGCACCGGAAGGGCUAGGGGGGCCCAAAGCCCUACCAAACCCUACCGAACUCCGAAUGCCGGUGAGUGCUAGGCGGGAGACAGACUGUGGGUGCUAAGGUCCAUAGUCGAGAGGGAAACAGCCCAGACCACCAGCUAAGGUCCCCAAAUAGUGGCUAAGUGGGAAAGCAUGUGGGACGGCCAAAACAACCAGGAGGUUGGCUUAGAAGCAGCCAUCCUUUAAAGAAAGCGUAAUAGCUCACUGGUCUAGAUAAGCUGUCCUGCGGCGAAAAUGUAACGGGGCUCAAGCCACUUACCGAAGCUGUGGAUGCACGAAAGUGCGUGGUAGCGGAGCGUUCCCUAAGCCUGUGAAGCGGUACCUGUGAGGGGUCGUGGAGGUAUGGGAAGUGCGAAUGCGGACAUGAGUAGCGACAAAGAGGGUGAGAAACCCUCUCGCCGUAAGUCCAAGGGUUCCUGCGCAAGGCUAAUCCGCGCAGGGUGAGCCGGCCCCUAAGGCGAGAGCGACAGCUGUAGCCGAUGGGAAUCAGGUGAAUAUUCCUGAGCUCGUCAGAAGUGACGGCCCUGAAUUUCCGUUUUCCCUUAUUGGAUUGGGGAGGCGGCUGGAUGGGUCCGGGAAAUAGCUCUGACAUUGAACCGUACCCUAAACCGACACAGGUGGACUGGUAGAGUAUACCAAGGCGCUUGAGAGAACCACAUUUAAGGAACUCGGCAAAAUGCCUCCGUAAGUUCGCGAGAAGGAGGCCCUGUUCGUACGCAAGUAUGGGCAGGGGGCACAAACUAGGGGGUGGCGACUGUUUACUUAAAACACAGGGCUCUGCGAAGCCGCAAGGCGACGUAUAGGGUCUGACGCCUGCCCGGUGCUGGAAGGUUAAAAGGAGGGGUGCAAGCUCUGAAUUGAAGCCCCAGUAAACGGCGGCCGUAACUAUAACGGUCCUAAGGUAGCGAAAUUCCUUGUCGGGUAAGUUCCGACCUGCACGAAUGGCGUAACGACUUCCC